CUGAGAUGAAAUAUUCUGCCGAGCAGACGCGUGGUCUGCGAUUCUUCUACGCUCCGCGUUCCCGAUCCCGGCGGCCCCGCCCACAGCCCCGUGAUUUUUGGGCACGAUUCCCCUUUUAUCUCUCCCUAGAUCGAGAAAUACGGAUCCGCAGCAACGUUGCGCCGCCGGCCCUCCCUUCCCUUUCUCUUCGAUGCACUUCCUAAUCCACCCCGAGAUAGACGCUGCGGAGGUUGGCCUGGCGCGGGGCUGGUGAGCGUCGAGGGGUCGCAGCAGUAGAGGGGGAGGUCGGACAAGGCGGGGAGUAGGCGGCCAGGCGCGCGGCAAUGAAGGUGUUCCGCUCGGCGAUCUCUUCCGAUGGAGCGGGAGGUGGUUGGAGGAGGAGGAGGAGGCGGGCGCCCCUGCAAUUCGCGAGGCCGAGGAGAGCAGCGGUUGGCCCCACAGCGAGGCCAGCGAGAGGUUGAGUCGCUCGAGCGCCGGGAACCAGAAGAUCGGCGGGAGCAGCGAAGUCGGGCGUCGUCGGGUCCCCGCGCAGCGCCAUCAUGCCCUGCGUCACCCGCUCCGCUGCCAGUAGCCUGCCGCACUCCAUCGAGGCCCGGUGCCACGACCGAGGGUCGCCCAGGAAGCCCACGAGUGGACAACCAGGAGGCGACGUGAUGGCGAAGGCGGCAAGAACGGCGUCGCAGUGGCUGCCGGGGCAGCAGCUUCACACUACCACACCGCCCUAGGCUUCAAAAUCUGGUAAUGCAACACCCCCUCCGCCUCCUUAGUUCGGAAAUUGGUUGGUGGUGUACAGUGGAGACUAAAAAUUCAGUGGAGGCUUCUUUCCACAAUUAUGUUCAUCUCAGCCAUAAGAUAGAGAGAGAUCAAUAGAUAACAUAUCUUUCAGUAAAAAGUAAAUUGCAGCCUUUGUUGAACUGUAGGUUUGCAAGUUUCUAGGAUCGAGACUUACAAACGUGUAAAUGCAAUUAAUUAGACUGGCCUACUCCUCUACAACAUUGCUGAGAUUCAACAUUCAGGAGAGUAUCACAUAUGGAAAAUCUUCUACAACUGACCAGACUGUUCGAAUUGUUUUUGAUGGUCUUUAUUUGAAUUUUGUAAGUGAAUAAGCAGGAAAGCUUCGAGAGAACUCAGUGCAUCAUUUCUUAUGCAACUGCUACUGCAAUCGAUUCCUUUCCAAGCGCUGGUAAUAUCUUUCUACAGAGCUUUUUCCUUUGUAUGCAAAUGUGAAAGAAAAAAUAUAUCCUGGCUAUGGUAUGUGGAUUAUUAUUCUCCUUAAACAACUGGCACAACUACUUUCUGUCGGUGAAGGUGUUUCAGAUAGUAGAGCCACAAAAACACUCUAAAUCUAGGAAUGCAGUGAGUAUGUGAUGUUUUUUUUCUUGAUGUGCAGGGUGGUACCAUUGGAUAGUUGUUCGUCAGGACAAUUUUGUUUGAAGUUCAAGCUGGUAUCAAAUAUUUGCUCUGGUGUUCGUAAGCCAUAGAUGUACAAAUGAUGUUAUUUCUUGAAGUCAAUUUGAAAUUUAUGUCCAUUGUGAUUAACAAAUAAACUACUCAUCAUGAUCUUAUUUGUAUAUUUUGAAAUUGUUUCCUGGUUGAUGUAUUAGGAAAGCAUGGUUAGUCCAAAUUUAAAUAGUAUACUGCAGUUCAGUUGAACAUAGUAAGUAUGAUUUAUAAGAAAUGAUCAAAAUUAUCUGCUGUGAAGAACACGUUAGGCUUUUGUUUUCAAUCUCCCUGUACUUCCAUGGUUCCAUAUCUUCUCUUAUAGGUUUGUUAUCUUGUCUGCUUGUAGAACUGUACAACAAGUUAGUUUGUUAUUCAAGCAAAAUCCAUUUAUUAUACAAAGUGUGCAUGGAUUGCUUGAUUACUGGGAUUGUAGACCACUAGGUUGUUCCAAAUUCAUUUAUUUUGUAGAAUUCCGCAGUCAAAAAAUUAUGGUAGCCCACUAAAAUUGUAUAAGGUUUGCUUAUUUAGCGCAGACUUUGUAAUUUGUGGCCAAUGGCAAUUCCAUAUUAUUUAGGCAGUUGUGAAUUCUAUGAAAUAUGGAUGAAAAGUUUCAUUGCAGAUCAUGUAUUUUUCUUUCAGCAUUUCAGUGUUUUGACAUAUUUCAGUGCAAAAUAAACUAACAUCUACAUGUCAAAGAGCAUCUUGAUGCAUAUAAAGAAUGAGUGGCGCAUCAAUGACUUGAGUUUUAUGGGUUUAUAUUGUCUCACGGAGUCCCCUUCCCUCGAAACUGGGCAAAUAGGUAGGUGUGUUUACAAGAUUCUUUUGGUUUCCUGAGUUCAUAUACGUUGAUACUCGGUAGACUACUGUGAUUGCUGAGCUCCCGACGAAAGAAAACUCGCCAAACUUUGAACUUGGCAUGCGAGAUGAUUCCAGUGGUGUCUGUUUGUGUGUGUAACUGACAGGAACAUUCGUCGCUUCAUGUAAAAAAGAUCCUAUAUGCAGCAAUAGGUGCAAGCAAGUGUUUUCCUGUAUGACAGGAACAUUUAUCGAUUCAUGCCAAUACAUUUUUUAUUCAAAUAAUUGUCUCUUAACUAUGAUGAAUGAGGAAUUAUCAAGUGUUUUAUACGUGCGUUGCACGUGCAAAUGCACUACAGAAAAAACAUUUAUGCUGAUAUGUACUCGGGGUAGGGUUCGGCGAGUGUAAAACUCGGUGAAGUGCACUUGGCAUACACCUGGCAUGGGGUUUGUGAAAAUACUACUACUUAAGUAAAGCACCAACAGAAGUGGGUGUAUUGAUGUGUCGUAUCUAUGUGCUUGUGGAAUGGUCGGCACUACAAGUUUAUUUUACCUGACUUGAUGAAAUUUACACACAAUGAUAUCAUGUGUUGGUUCUAUUACUUCACCAUCUGCAUCAUCCUAAUUGCUAAGUGUAACAUUUCAGAAAAGUUGGAACCGCCAUUCUCUGUACAAUCCAAUUGUUUUAAAUAAUUUUAUCAUGUGUUGUAUUCUAAUUAUUUUAUUCAGAGGUUGUAUGUGCUGAGAAGUUGUCAGUCGUGUGGUCAGUGAUCUAGAUUUAAUUUACUCCCUCCGAUCCAAAUUAAUUGAUGCUGACUUAGUACAAUUUUGGACUAAAGUGCUACUAAGUCUUUGUCAAUUAAUUUGGAUCGGAGGGAGUAGCACACUUGACAUAGUAAUGAGAAUAUUUUAGCAAUGGGAUAACGUUAUCUGAACUUUUGUUUUACUUGCAUCUUGGUUAGGGUCACUGUCACCAGUGAGCAUUUGGUAACUAGGCAAAGGAUUACCCACAUGUGGUUGGAAGUGAGCGCUUGGCUAAAACUGAAGUAGAUGGAGAGAGAUCAAAGGAGGCAAAGUUCAUCAAAAAGUCACUGUCUGCACUGGGUGAUGUUAUUGCUUCCCUUGGCUCCAAAAUGCCCACGUCCCAUAUAGGUUGCACAUUAGCAUUUUCAGAAAUCAACAUAUGUUCAAGUAAGUGCUCUUCACAAAUGGUGCAUGAUGUUCUACUAUUUAUAUUUCAGGGAAUUUUUUCUGGACAAAGGAAAGGACAAGCUAUAUAUUUGUGAACUUGAAGCAAGUUCCUAUUUUUAUAGCUAUGUGAAAGAAAAACAUUUAUUUUAUGGGAAAGGCAGUCAACAGUCUGCUUCUUCUAAACAAUGUGCAUGUUUUUUCACCCUUUUUUGUUUGUUUGUAAUACCACUGAUUGCAUGCAGCAGUUUGUUAGUACUAUUCCUUUCUCCGGGUGAAUUAUUGUAUUUUUCUUCAAAUGCAUGUUCCAGUAUAGUAUUUCUUUGUAUUCCAAAUGCACGGUUUUAUUCAAAUAAUUAGUUUCAAUGUGCCGCCAUCACAGGUCAUCAGAAUCAUUCGUAACCUGCAGAUUUUUAGAUUUGAGUUGUAAUCAAGUUGGAAAGCUGUUAGCUUGCACAACCUCAUUGGUUGAUCAUUGUAGAUACAAGAGCAUUAUACAUGACACUGUCUUGUUUGUAUCUUACAGCGAAUAAGAGGAGGCAGAGGCACAACCAACUAAGAAUCAUCCCAGGUGAAAGGUGCAAAGCUUUCAUCGCAUGGAUGUCCAGAUGGUGGUUAUCCCAUGGCAUAUGGUAGUUUUUUUUUAUAGAAGAUUAAAAAUGUAGCAAUGCUAGAUAUAUGUGACUAGACUUUCUGUGUAAGCUCGUGUCUUGUACUGAAUUUUUGAAAAAUGCCAAUUGAUCAAGACUUGAGUUGUGGUCA